rnacentral:lncRNA from 1 species
GUUCAGCCCAGAGGAAGGGACCAGCCUCAGGACAGGGGAAGCUGGAGUUGGUGAGGGGGACCCCAAACCUACGAAGCCAGGCAGUAUCCUCUAAGAAAGUUUGGGGGAGUCAGGAGCGGGGGCAAGGGACAUGUCCCUUCAUACUGAACCCUCACGUUGGCACAAUGGGAGGGCUCCUGAGAGGAUGGCAUUGGGUGGGGAACCUCCUGGACACCCCCUCAGGGACAAGUGGAGAGCUGGGGUGCAGGAAGAACAGUCGCAGGUCACUCGGCCCUUCCUCUGUGGAAUUUCCCCUUCCAGUCCCAACCAUGGGUCCCGUGUUUUCUGGUGGGUCUGAAAGCAGCCGCCCUGGAGUGGGGGUGACACUCUGGGGCAGAGGGAGGGACCAGCUCCAACGGCACUGGGACACUGAGUGAGCCCAUCCUGUGGCUCCAUAAAUAGACGCCACCUUCCUAGAUCAUGCACCCCGAGGGUGGAGGUGGGAGCCGGAGCCGGGGUUCCCUGUUGCCAUCUGUACCCCCAGGUCCCCCUGCAUCAGAGACAGCGUGGGUGGCGACUGGCCGCUCUUCCUGGCACCUAGCUAGGCUCUCUUCCCAGACCAGAAUGAUUCAGAAAGCAAGAAGGUGACCUUUUCCUUCCGUGUCAGUCACUUUUUUGAUUCCAGGGCUUAUUCAGGGACAUUUUAAGUAAUCUAAUGAAAGCAAAAAGGAGUGAUGUCACAUUAUUGAGGUCCCUUGGCGCCAGGCGGGGGGCAGUGGAGGAGUGCAUCCUCUCCCUGCCCUUGCAUGUGCAGAUGCUUCGGGACCAAGGAACAGAGGCCAGGGCAGGUCUGUGCACCACACAGCAGACCAGGACUCACAGCCUGGGCAGGGGUGGUGUCUGAGAGGCCUGGCUUAGAGGCCAUGUGCUCAGGAAUGGUGCCCAAAGCCAACUCAGGGCUGCUCCUGUGCAGACCCUGAGGCUGCCUCAGCAGGCAUCACUGAUGUGCUUCAGCUUGGCACUGGACGUCACGCUGUCCCCAUGAAUCAGGAAGCUGGGUCCCACUGGGGCCUCCUGGUCACCUGUGUGCACCCCAGGUGUGAGGGGUCUGGGAGAGCAUCUGUUGCCCUGCAGGAC